rnacentral:rRNA from 1 species
GAUGAACGCUGGCGGCGUGUCUAAGGCAUGCAAGUCGAACGGACUGUUAUUUGUAGCAAUACUUAGAACAGUUAGUGGCAAACGGGUGCGUAACACAUUGGUAACCUGCCUCAAAGUCAGGCAUAAUCCCGCGAAAGUGGGACUAAUUCCACGAUAGUCAUCGAAGGUGAGAUUCCUUCGAUGUAAAGUCGCAAGACGCUUUGAGAGGGGCCUAUGGCCUAUCAGCUUGUUGGUGAGGUAACGGCUCACCAAGGCUAUGACGGGUAGGGGGUGUGAGAGCACGACCCCCCUCACUGGGACUGAGACACUGCCCAGACACCUACGGGUGGCUGCAGUCGAGAAUAUUCCCCAAUGGCCGAAAGGCUGAGGGAGCGACGCCGCGUGCAGGAAUAAGGCC